rnacentral:rRNA from 1 species
GUGGGCUGUACUAGAAGACGUUGAGCUAACCGAAAGGGGGGCAGGCGUCCACGGUAUGGUUCAUGAUUGGGGUGAAGUCGUAACAAGGUAGCUGUAGGUGAACCUGCAGAAGGAUCA